rnacentral:tRNA from 12 species
GCGGGAAUAGCUCAGUUGGUAGAGCACAACCUUGCCAAGGUUGGGGUCGAGAGUUCGAGUCUCUUUUCCCGCUCCA